CUUUGUUGGGUUGUUUGAUUACAGAACCUGUAACAAAAAAAUUAUAAAAAUGAAAAACUUCAUUUUUUCCAUCGGUUUACUAAGUAUAUACUUUACUACAACAGCGAAUUCACUACUAACAGAAACAAACCCUAUACGAAGAGAUUUCUCAGAAAAUAGAGAACGGUGUUUACAUCUUUUAAGUAAUCAAACGGAUGGAGUGAAUAUAACUGCAAACAGCCCAAAUUUUCGGUGUUAUCAAACAUGUUUGGUAAAACGUAAAGGAUACUUGCAGGAUGG